GACGAACGCUGGCGGCGUGCCUAACACAUGCAAGUCGAGCGGAGUUUGUUAGCAAUAGCAGACUUAGCGGCGGACGGGUGAGUAACACGUGGGCAACCUACCUCAUACUGGGGGAUAACACUGGGAAACUAGUGCUAAUACCGCAUAACAUCAUGAUAUGGCAUCAUAUUAUGAUCAAAGGAGCAAUCUGGUAUAAGAUGGGGCCCGCGUCCGAUUAGCUAGUUGGUGAGGUAAUGGCUCACCAAGGCUGCGAUCGGUAGCCGGACUGAGAGGUUGAUCGGCCACAUUGGGACUGAGACACGGCCCAGACACCUACGGGUGGCAG
rnacentral:rRNA from 1 species